AAGCGGAGGAAAAGAAACUAACAAGGAUUCCCCUAGUAACGGCGAGUGAACCGGGAUGAGCUCAAAUUUGAAAUCUGGCGUCCUCAGGGCGUCCGAGUUGUAAUCUAUAGAGGCGUUUUCCGUGCCGGACCGUGUCCAAGUCCCUUGGAACAGGGUAUCAAAGAGGGUGACAAUCCCGUACUUGACACGACGACCGGUGCUCUGUGAUACGUCUUCUACGAGUCGAGUUGUUUGGGAAUGCAGCUCAAAAUGGGUGGUGAGUUCCAUCUAAAGCUAAAUAUUGGCGAGAGACCGAUAGCGAACAAGUACCGUGAGGGAAAGAUGAAAAGCACUUUGGAAAGAGAGUUAAACAGUACGUGAAAUUGUUGAAAGGGAAACGAUUGAAGUCAGUCGUGACUGUUGGGCUCAGCAGGUUCUGCCUGUGUAUUCCCCUCAGUCGGGUCAACAUCAGUUUUGACCGGUGGAUAAGGGCAGCAGGAAUGUGGCACCUCCGGGUGUGUUAUAGCCUGUCGUCGCAUACAUCGGUCGAGACUGAGGAACGCAGCUCGCCCUUGAGGCCGGGGUUCGCCCACGUCCGAGCUUAGGAUGUUGACAUAAUGGCUUUAAACGACCCGUCUUGAAACACGGGACCA
rnacentral:rRNA from 1 species